rnacentral:rRNA from 1 species
UACGGAAGGUCCGGGCGUUAUCCGGAUUUAUUGGGUUUAAAGGGAGCGUAGGCCGGAGAUUAAGCGUGUUGUGAAAUGUAGAUGCUCAACAUCUGAACUGCAGCGCGAACUGGUUUCCUUGAGUACGCAUAAAGUGGGCGGAAUUCGUGGUGUAGCGGUGAAAUGCUUAGAUAUCACGAAGAACUCCGAUUGCGAAGGCUGCUCACUGGGGCGCAACUGACGCUGAAGCUCGAAAGCGCGGGUAUCGAACAGG